rnacentral:tRNA from 1 species
GCCUGGGUGGCUCAGCUGGUUAAAGCAUCUGACUUCAGCUCAGGUCAUGAUCUCGCGGUCUGUGAGUUCGAGCCCCACGUCAGGCU